rnacentral:rRNA from 1 species
AGAGUUUGAUCCUGGCUCAGAUUGAACGCUGGCGGCAGGCCUAACACAUGCAAGUCGAGCGGUAGAGAGAAGCUUGCUUCUCUUGAGAGCGGCGGACGGGUGAGUAAUGCCUAGGAAUCUGCCUGGUAGUGGGGGAUAACGUUCGGAAACGGACGCUAAUACCGCAUACGUCCUACGGGAGAAAGCAGGGGAUCUUCGGACCUUGCGCUAAUAGAUGAGCCUAAGUCGGAUUAGCUAGUUGGUGGGGUAAAGGCCUACCAAGGCGACGAUCUGUAGCGGGUCUGAGAGGAUGAUCCGCCACACUGGGACUGAGACACGGCCCAGACUCCUACGGGAGGCAGCAGUGGGGAAUAUUGGACAAUGGGCGCAAGCCUGAUCCAGCCAUGCCGCGUGUGUGAAGAAGGCCUUAUGGUUGUAAAGCACUUUAAGCGAGGAGGAGGCUACUUUAGAUAAUACCUAGAGAUAGUGGACGUUACUCGCAGAAUAAGCACCGGCUAACUCUGUGCCAGCAGCCGCGGUAAUACAGAGGGUGCAAGCGUUAAUCGGAUUUACUGGGCGUAAAGCGCGCGUAGGCGGCUAAUUAAGUCAAAUGUGAAAUCCCCGAGCUUAACUUGGGAAUUGCAUUCGAUACUGGUUAGCUAGAGUGUGGGAGAGGAUGGUAGAAUUCCAGGUGUAGCGGUGAAAUGCGUAGAGAUCUGGAGGAAUACCGAUGGCGAAGGCAGCCAUCUGGCCUAACACUGACGCUGAGGUGCGAAAGCAUGGGGAGCAAACAGGAUUAGAUACCCUGGUAGUCCAUGCCGUAAACGAUGUCUACUAGCCGUUGGGGCCUUUGAGGCUUUAGUGGCGCAGCUAACGCGAUAAGUAGACCGCCUGGGGAGUACGGUCGCAAGACUAAAACUCAAAUGAAUUGACGGGGGCCCGCACAAGCGGUGGAGCAUGUGGUUUAAUUCGAUGCAACGCGAAGAACCUUACCUGGCCUUGACAUAGUAAGAACUUUCCAGAGAUGGAUUGGUGCCUUCGGGAACUUACAUACAGGUGCUGCAUGGCUGUCGUCAGCUCGUGUCGUGAGAUGUUGGGUUAAGUCCCGCAACGAGCGCAACCCUUUUCCUUAUUUGCCAGCGAGUAAUGUCGGGAACUUUAAGGAUACUGCCAGUGACAAACUGGAGGAAGGCGGGGACGACGUCAAGUCAUCAUGGCCCUUACGGCCAGGGCUACACACGUGCUACAAUGGUCGGUACAAAGGGUUGCUACACAGCGAUGUGAUGCUAAUCUCAAAAAGCCGAUCGUAGUCCGGAUUGGAGUCUGCAACUCGACUCCAUGAAGUCGGAAUCGCUAGUAAUCGCGGAUCAGAAUGCCGCGGUGAAUACGUUCCCGGGCCUUGUACACACCGCCCGUCACACCAUGGGAGUUUGUUGCACCAGAAGUAGCUAGCCUAACUGCAAAGAGGGCGGUUACCACGGUGUGGCCGAUGACUGGGGUGAAGUCGUAACAAGGUAGCCGUA